rnacentral:rRNA from 1 species
UGGGGAAUAUUGCACAAUGGGCGAAAGCCUGAUGCAGCAACGCCGCGUGAGUGAUGAAGGUCUUCGGAUUGUAAAGCUCUGUCUUUUGGGACGAUAAUGACGGUACCAAAGGAGGAAGCCACGGCUAACUACGUGCCAGCAGCCGCGGUAAUACGUAGGUGGCGAGCGUUGUCCGGAUUUACUGGGCGUAAAGGGUGCGUAGGCGGAUGUUUAAGUGAGAUGUGAAAUACCCGGGCUUAACUUGGGUGCUGCAUUUCAAACUGGAUAUCUAGAGUGCAGGAGAGGAGAAUGGAAUUCCUAGUGUAGCGGUGAAAUGCGUAGAGAUUAGGAAGAACACCAGUGGCGAAGGCGAUUCUCUGGACUGUAACUGACGCUGAGGCACGAAAGCGUGGGUAGCAAACAGGAUUAGAUACCCUGGUAGUCCACGCCGUAAACGAUGAGUACUAGGUGUAGGAGGUAUCAACCCCUUCUGUGCCGCAGUAAACACAUUAAGUACUCCGCCUGGGAAGUACGAUCGCAAGAUUAAAAC